rnacentral:lncRNA from 1 species
AAAGAAGCUAAACUUCACUGUUUUGAAGUUGAAACGUAGCUAAAACCAGAUACAAAUUGACAUGGCUGGUGGUCACUAAAAUUGAUGUAUAAAAGUAAAAAAUGAUGGCUUCAAAAAAGUGUAUAAAUUUGAAAUAGGUUUCCCGGUUUCAUUUAAGAUUAUAACCGUUCUUUUCUGUAUUUGGAUACGCAAACGUCAAAUUAGGAAAAAUCGAUUUUUUUGGCGAACAAAAAAGAUGGCUAUUUUUUUUUAGAACAGACAGGAAAAAGGAAUAGCAAUAACAAGCUAUUUUUUGUAAUGUUUGUAUGUCGUAAAUAAAUUAUAUUGGUCACAAAACCUACAAAUUUUAAAAUUUAAUUAUAAUAAAAGCAUGACAAGUUGCAAAAAAUACUCUAAACGUCAAUCUUUUAGCCGAUAGAUUUGGCGGACUUUUUGACGUUACGGACGACUGUAGCGCCACCUAAUUAAUUCCCCCUGCUAUUGUUGCUGAUAGAGCUUGACGACAACGGCCGUAUCGAAGGACUUGCUUUCCAACUGUAU